rnacentral:rRNA from 1 species
UACAUGGGGUGCAAACGUUGCUCGGAAUUAUUGGGCGUAAAGCGCACGUAGGCGGUUCGUUAAGUCGGAUGUGAAAGCCCUCGGCUCAACUGAGGAAGUGCACCCGAAACUGGCGAGCUUGAGUACGAAAGAGGAUCGCGGAAUUCCCGGUGUAGAGGUGAAAUUUGUAGAUAUCGGGAGGAACACCGGUGGCGAAGGCAAUUCACUGGUGCAUUACUGACACUGAAACACGUAAGCGUGGGUAGCGAACGGG